rnacentral:rRNA from 1 species
GCAAGUCGAACGGCAGCACGAGAGCUUGCUCUUGGUGGCGAGUGGCGGACGGGUGAGUAAUACUUAGGAAUCUAUCCAGUAGUUGGGGAUAACGUGUGGAAACGCACGCUAAUACCGAAUACGCACUAUGGUGGAAAGAGGGGGCUCUUCGGACCUCUCACUAUUGGGUGAGCCUAAGCCGGAUUAGCUAGUUGGUGGGGUAAUGGCCUACCAAGUCACCGAUCUAUAGCUGGUUUGAGAGGAUGAUC